GCACCAUCCAGAGAAUCGCUGUCGCAGCUCACGUACUGAAAGCCAUCGUGCUUUCUCACCUUUUGCUGUGGGGAAAGUCCCCGGAGACCGACAGAGCCGCCCGUCAAAUGCCGGAGUCCAGCCCAUCACACUUGAGGAAAGCGCCUGUCCCGAGGCACGACAGGAAGUGUGAUCUCCGUGUACCAGACGGAUGCAUUGGCGUCACUUGUUAUAUCACUUGCGAAGCAGUGCAUGUGACUCGAACGACGCGCUCUGCCUCGCCGUGCAUGCUGGAUGUCCGCGUAGCAUCUUUCAGUUCCGCAAAGUCCGACCACGAUAUUAUGCGCUGGCGAAGAUAGGAGCCGUGCGGAUUCGUGCAGGAUGGGGCUGGGAUGAAGCUGCCCGGAUAAUGGUUGCCGGAACCGUGUUGCUCAUAGCCGAUAGUUAUGCGAUUGCGUCCAUGCUGGCUUCGGUCAGUACGGUCGUAACCCAAUGGGGCUCAUUCCUGAAUGGUG
rnacentral:RNase_MRP_RNA from 1 species